UAGAUGCCAAUCUGCUAUAAAAGCAUGGUCUGCUGUACCUGAGAAUGCGAGGAAAUUAAGUUCAAGAUCACCUGAUGAAGUACAUUCAUCAAUUUUCAACUUCAUGCAUUGGCAGAAUUCAUCAACCAACUGUUACAUGAUAUGAGGUGCCAGCUGAGGAUCUUCUAAGCUGUCCAGUUGAAUGUGUCCCUCACCAUCAUUUGUUAGGAUCUCUUACAUCAGUCUAAUGCACUUGAAGUAAGGCUUUUUUCUUCAUUAUUCACAGCUUAGUCAAUCAUACCUAGGGCAUUCUCUUUUGAAUACAUAUAGACAUAAUUUUUAAUCUCCUUCCUUUUCUUUUCUGACUUCUACCUGGUUAUAUCUAUGACACUAUGUUGACUGGUUUCCAGUGUCAUUUCUGUUAAACGGAUUUCUUAUGAGAUCUGUCACUGUAACCAUGAUUCUAUGGGAAAAAGCAUUAUUGGUUUUAAACUGAAAUAAAAAUGAACUUCUAUAAUACA